rnacentral:lncRNA from 1 species
CACUAUCUUCUCUGUUGGGUAAGGCUGUCGUGCCAUUUUCUCUCAUCUAUUCAACCACAAGAUAGUCUGUUAAGCUCAGUGCUCCUAAAUCCCAUCCAGGACAUUUGGCAAGGCUAAGAUAAAAAAAGAUAGUGACAUUUCCAUUCCCCAUUGAACUUCUGUCUAGGAUGAACAUACACUUGUUGUUUCAGGAUUCCCAGAUGGGCCCAGCCUGGAAACCAGAAGUUAAAGUUAUCUAAAAGUGAUAAACUCAGGAACUACAUGAGAUACUGAUGUGGAUCUAAUUUCAAAGGUCAACAGAGGUUCAAAGGGUGAAUAAAGGAUGGCCCUUUAAGGGUUGCUGGGUGAUGGCCCAGCAUUUUGCCCAGAGGAGAAAAUUUUGCUGCGGAGACAAAUACAAGUUUUUACUAAAGUUAGUGGCCAAGAGAGCAGGCUCAUGUUCAACAUUUCCUGAGGAUGAACCAUCCAUCUCGUGAGCGUGCAGCACACCUGCAGGUAGGACUCUUCUGGCAUUUGCCUACAGGAAGGUUAUUAUUAAGAGGCAGUACAAAUUAGGACAGCUCCCCUAGCAGCAGCAAUUAACCUUCAGGAACAUGGCUGGCAUAGGUAUAUUUUAGGACUGCAGAAACCAUUAACCUUCUCAUUAUUUACAGGAUUGAGUAAUAGGAGGAAAAACCGAGAUUUCCUUCUUCUUGGUCCUUCCCCUGUGCC